rnacentral:rRNA from 1 species
UACGUAGGGUGCGAGCGUUGUCCGGAAUUAUUGGGCGUAAAGAGCUCGUAGGCGGUGCGUCGCGUCGGCCGUGAAAACCUGCAGCUUAACUGUGGGCUUGCGGUCGAUACGGGCAUCACUGGAGUUCGGCAGGGGAGACUGGAAUUCCUGGUGUAGCGGUGAAAUGCGCAGAUAUCAGGAGGAACACCGGUGGCGAAGGCGGGUCUCUGGGCCGAUACUGACGCCGAGGAGCGAAAGCGUGGGGAGCGAACAGG